rnacentral:rRNA from 1 species
AAUGAACGCUGGCGGCAGGCCUAACACAUGCAAGUCGAACGGCAGCAUCGUAACUGCUUGCUCAUACGGGUGUCGCGCGGCGGACCGUGCCCGUAUAUAUGGGAUACCUCUUUUUCGUGGGUGCUAACACAGGCAAACUUACGCUAACACCGCAUAUGUCGCCCGUGUGUGAGCCCGGGAUCUUUUGACUUUUUGGUAGUGUAUGAGCCUAGGUCGGAUUAGCUAGUUAGCGGGGUAGAGGGCUACCAAGGCGACGAUCCGUAGCUGGUCCGAGCGGGUGAACAGCCACACUGGAACUGAGACACGGUCCAGACUCCUAGGGGAGGCAGCAGUGGGGAAUAUUAGGCAAUGGGGGAAAGCCUGAUCCAGCAAUACCGCGUGAGUGAUGAAGGACUUCGGAUUGUAAAGCGCUGUAGGUGGGAGGGAAGUAAAGCAGGUUAAUACCGGGCGGUAAUGACGGUACCAACAGAAUAAGCACCGGCUAACUUCGUG